GGCAGCACCUAAUCACAGGUGGCCAGAGCAGCCGUUGAUGAUUUCAAAUUUGCCAACGUUUCGUUUUUAAUGUUAGCUGAAUUUGUCAGGUCAACAACAUGAAACCAGAGAUUGAAGUUAACACCUAAACACCAACUGAUUGUUUCCUAUAAUUGUUUCAGGAUACUCUUCAACGGGAGACGAUCCUUGAGGGCGCGGCCUCUCGCUCUCUGUGAACUGAGAUGGCUCGUCACAUGUCUGCGUGGACAUAAGCCUCUGCUUCAAACACACAGCGGGAGGGCAACAGGAGAAGAGCAGAGCUGCCUGGCAUCGUCGAUGAUGACAUCUUCAAACACUACCCCGCACUCUGCAGACACGCCCAACGCUCACUGCAGGUCGGUGACACAACUCAGCAUCAGCACCAGCUGCCUCAUGCUCACUCCCUGUCGCCCAUCGUCACCAAAACACACACAAACAUAAUCUCUUACACGCACUACUGAACUGUGCUGCUGAAUCAGGGAAAGUUUCUCAGGGGAAAACGGAGAAAGGGGAAAGAGAACAGAAAGAGUAGAGAGAACAGAGAGAGCGAUGCUCACCCGUCCC